rnacentral:rRNA from 1 species
CUGCGAGUGAAGCGGGAUGAGCUCAAAUUUCGAAUCUGACGGUCUCGGGCCGUCCGAGUUGUAAUCUAGAGAAGCGCCUUCCGCGCCAGACCCGUGUACAAGUCUCCUGGAAGGGAGCAUCGUAGAGGGUGACAGUCCCGUCUUCGACACGGAUCUCUGGGGCUAUGUGAUGCGCUCUCGACGAGUCGAGUUGUUUGGGAAUGCAGCUCCAAACGGGUGGUAAACUCCAUCUAAAGCUAAAUACCGGCGAGAGACCGAUAGCGAACAAGUACCGUGAGGGAAAGAUGAAAAGAACUUUGGAAAGAGAGUUAAACAGUAUGUGAAAUUGCUGGAAGGGAAACGCUCCGAGUCAGUCGUGUCUGCCGGGGAUCAACCCUGCGAUUACCGUGGGGCGUACUUCCCGGUGGACGGGCCAGCAUCGAUCUCGGUCGUCGUAGAAGGACGAGGGUGAAAGUGGCACCCCUCGGGGUGUGUUAUAGCCUCUCGUAUGCAUGCGACGACCAGGGAUCGAGGAACUCGACACGACCCCUCGAGGGUUCGGGGCCUCCGGGCUCACGCUCGCGUGUCUAGGAUGUUGGCAUAAUGGCUUCGAGCGACCCGUCUUGAAACACGGACCAAGGAGUCCAACAUGCCUGCGAGUGUUCGGGUGGCAAACCCGAGCGCGGAACGAAAGUGAAAGUCGAGACCUUCGUCGUGGAGGGCACCGACGCCCGGACCUGAGCCGUCGGCGAUGGAUCUGCGGUGGAGCAAAGCAUGUUGGGA